AUUGAACGCUGGCGGCAUGCUUUACACAUGCAAGUCGAACGGUAACAGGCCGCAAGGUGCUGACGAGUGGCGAACGGGUGAGUAAUGCAUCGGAACGUGCCCAGUCGUGGGGGAUAACUACUCGAAAGAGUAGCUAAUACCGCAUACGAUCUAUGGAUGAAAGCGGGGGACCGCAAGGCAUCGCGCGAUUGGAGCGGCCGAUGUCAGAUUAGGUAGUUGGUGGGGUAAAGGCGCACCAAGCCAACGAUCUGUAGCUGGUCUGAGAGGACGACCAGCCACACUGGGACUGAGACACGGCCCAGACUCCUACGGGAGGCAGCAGUGGGGAAUUUUGGACAAUGGGCGCAAGCCUGAUCCAGCAAUGCCGCGUGCAGGAAGAAGGCCUUCGGGUUGUAAACUGCUUUUGUACGGAACGAAACGGCUCUGGUUAAUACCCGGGGCUAAUGACGGUACCGUAAGAAUAAGCACCGGCUAACUACGUG
rnacentral:rRNA from 1 species